rnacentral:rRNA from 1 species
UACGUAGGGGGCGAGCGUUGUCCGGAGUACUGGGCGUAAAGCGCACGCAGGCGGUCUGUGAAGUUUGGAGUGACAGUUGGUGGCUCAACCACCAAAGUGCUUUGAAAACUGAUAGACUUGAGGGCUUCAGAGGGACACGGAAUUCCGGGUGUAGCGGUGGAAUGCGUAGAGAUCCGGAAGAACACCGGUGGCGAAGGCGGCCUGCUGGGCAGUAGCUGACGCUGAUGCGCGACAGCGUGGGGAGCAAACAGG